AUGGAGAAAUCUAGUUAACAAKAUGAUUAACUAGUAAUAACUCAAAAGAUAUGGUAUCUUAACUUCUGUUCAAUUUUGAAGGACCAAAAGCCUUCAAAAUUUUUGUUCUUUGAAAAUUGCACAUGAAUUAAAAMCAACUUAAGUGAGAAUCUAAAUUUAURAUUUAGUUAUUCGAACUUAYUCCUGAAAGCGUAUGUGAMCAGGAGUUUCAGAUUAACGAAAGUUAAUUGAGAAGUGMCAMCAAGCCAAGAAUAAUAUUCUUUGUGAAAGUAAAUUAACUCUUUGUAAAAGAGAMCCGUAUA
rnacentral:misc_RNA from 1 species